GCGCACCGGCGAGAAACCUCCGCAAUACACGAAAGUGUGACGGGCCAUCCCGAGUGCCGUCCGCUGAGGACGGCUUUCCCCAGUGUACAUAGCUGGGGAAUAAGGAGAGGGCAAGCCUGGUGUCAGCCGCCGCGGUAAUACCAGCUCUCCGAGUGGUGGGGACGCUUAUUGGGCCUAAAGCAUCCGUAGCCGGCUGGGCAAGUCCUCCGUUAAAUCCAACGAUUCAAUCGUUGGGCUGCGGGGGAUACUGUCCAGCUUGGGGGCGGGAGAGGCCGACGGUAUUCCCGGGGUAGGGUGAAAUCCUAUAAUCCCGGGAGGACCACCAGUGGCGAAGGCUGUCGGCUAGAACGCGCCCGACGGUGAGGGAUGAAAGCUGGGGGAGCGAACCGGAUUAGAUACCCGUGUAGU
rnacentral:rRNA from 1 species